UACGAAGGGGGCUAGCGUUGCUCGGAAUCACUGGGCGUAAAGGGUGCGUAGGCGGGUCUUUAAGUCAGGGGUGAAAUCCUGGAGCUCAACUCCAGAACUGCCUUUGAUACUGAAGAUCUUGAGUUCAGGAGAGGUGAGUGGAACUGCGAGUGUAGAGGUGAAAUUCGUAGAUAUUCGCAAGAACACCAGUGGCGAAGGCGGCUCACUGGCCCGAUACUGACGCUGAGGAGCGAAAGCGUGGGGAGCAAACAGG
rnacentral:rRNA from 1 species